CACGUAGGGCGCAAGCGUUGUCCGGAAUUAUUGGGCGUAAAGAGCUCGUAGGCGGUCUGUUGCGUCCGCUGUGAAAACUCGGGGCUUAACCCCGAGCCUGCAGUGGAUACGGGCAGACUAGAGGUAGGUAGGGGAGAAUGGAAUUCCCGGUGUAGCGGUGAAAUGCGUAGAUAUCUGGAGGAACACCGGUGGCGAAGGCGGCAUCCUGGACCGGCAUUGACGCUGAGGCGCGAAAGCCAGGGAGCAAAGCGGGG
rnacentral:rRNA from 1 species